GCAAGGCCUGUUGAACAUGACAUUAUUGAAACCAAAUUGUUUCGUUCAACUUAAUUGAGUGAUUCAAUUAGCAUUAAAGAUUGAAAGAUAAAGAGAUCACUAUUCUUUUUGGCUUAAGCAAUUCUUUCUGACUAUGCUGUAAACUUCUAUGCAGAGUGGGAGAAGACAUUGCAAAUUAUUGGUAUUGUCGGUCUGGGACAGACUCUGUAUCGACGUCUUGCUUCAUACAAAGAUUCUGAUGAUCUAAAACGAGAUGUGAGGCUGCUGCUAGCUCCAGUUACACUCGGAGUGGC